rnacentral:rRNA from 1 species
CCUACGGGGGGCAGCAGUGGGGAAUAUUGCACAAUGGGGGAAACCCUGAUGCAGCGACGCCGCAUGAGUGAAGAAGUAAUUCGUUAUGUAAAGCUCUAUCAGCAGGGAAGAAAAUGACGGUACCUGAGUAAGAAGCCCCGGCUAACUACGUGCCAGCAGCCGCGGUAAUACGUAGGGGGCAAGCGUUAUCCGGAUUUACUGGGUGGAAAGGGAGCGUAGACGGCAGUGCAAGUCUGGAGUGAAAGGCGGGGGCUCAACCCCCGGACUGCUCUGGAAACUGUACGGCUGGAGUGCAGGAGAGGUAAGUGGAAUUCCUAGUGUAGCGGUGAAAUGCGUAGAUAUUAGGAGGAACACCAGUGGCGAAGGCGGCUUACUGGACUGUAACUGACGUUGAGGCUCGAAAGCGUGGGGAGCAAACAGGAUUAGAUACCCCAGUAGUC